GACGAACGCUGGCGGCGUGCUUAACACAUGCAAGUCGAACGGAAAGGCCCUGCUUUCGUGGGGUGCUCGAGUGGCGAACGGGUGAGUAACACGUGAGUAACCUGCCCUUGACUUUGGGAUAACUUCAGGAAACUGGGGCUAAUACCGGAUAGGAGCUCCUGCUGCAUGGUGGGGGUUGGAAAGUUUCGGCGGUUGGGGAUGGACUCGCGGCUUAUCAGCUUGUUGGUGGGGUAGUGGCUUACCAAGGCUUUGACGGGUAGCCGGCCUGAGAGGGUGACCGGCCACAUUGGGACUGAGAUACGGCCCAGACUCCUACGGGAGGCAGCAGUGGGGAAUAUUGCACAAUGGGCGGAAGCCUGAUGCAGCAACGCCGCGUGCGGGAUGACGGCUUUCGGGUUGUAAACCGCUUUCGCCUGUGACGAAGCGUGAGUGACGGUAAUGGGUAAAGAAGCACCGGCUAACUACGUG
rnacentral:rRNA from 1 species